rnacentral:rRNA from 1 species
CCUUAGAGUUUGAUCCUGGCUCAAGACGAACGCUGGCGGCGUGCUUAACACAUGCAAGUCGAACGAAGAGCGAUGGAAGCUUGCUUCUAUCAAUCUUAGUGGCGAACGGGUGAGUAACGCGUAAUCAACCUGCCCUUCAGAGGGGGACAACAGUUGGAAACGACUGCUAAUACCGCAUACGAUCCAAUCUCGGCAUCGAGGAUGGAUGAAAGGUGGCCUCUAUUUAUAAGCUAUCACUGAAGGAGGGGAUUGCGUCUGAUUAGCUAGUUGGAGGGGUAACGGCCCACCAAGGCGAUGACCAGUAGCCGGUCUGAGAGGAUGAACGGCCACAUUGGGACUGAGACACGGCCCAGACUCCUACGGGAGGCAGCAGUGGGGAAUCUUCCGCAAUGGACGAAAGUCUGACGGAGCAACGCCGCGUGAGUGAUGACGGCCUUCGGGUUGUAAAGCUCUGUUAAUCGGGACGAAAGGCCUUCUUGCGAAUAGUUAGAAGGAUUGACGGUACCGGAAUAGAAAGCCACGGCUAACUACGUGCCAGCAGCCGCGGUAAUACGUAGGUGGCAAGCGUUGUCCGGAAUUAUUGGGCGUAAAGCGCGCGCAGGCGGAUUGGUCAGUCUGUCUUAAAAGUUCGGGGCUUAACCCCGUGAUGGGAUGGAAACUGCCAAUCUUGGGUAUCGGAGAGGAAAGUGGAAUUCCUAGUGUAGCGGUGAAAUGCGUAGAUAUUAGGAAGAACACAGUGGCGAAGGCGACUUUCUGGACGAAAACUGAGGCUGAGGCGCGAAAGCCAGGGGAGCGAACGGGAUUAGAUACCCCGGUCGUCCUGGCCGUAAA